AUAUUACUGCACAGAAUAUAGAGAGCACAACAUAUAAACAACAGAUUUAUCGAAUACAAUAGAAGAUUAGUCUCCGAAUACAAUUCGUCAUAUUAGUCUACGAAUUUAAAAUACCGAACAAAGUUAGAACAUUACAAGUCUCGAGACCGCGAGUAGCGAGUUUGUCUUCACAUUACAAGUCGAUAUCGAUCAUCUAAACUAUCAUCACAUAGAAGAGAGCUGCGGGCAUCACUACCAUCAGUGGUGGCAUCCUCGGCGGCACCAUCGGUGGUGUCAUCCCCGAUGUCACUAGGGGUUGUGUAGUCGGGAUCGGUCUCUUCCGCGGCGUCCUCAUAGCGGUGAGGUUCUUCCUCCAUCUCCUGGGAAAGCUCCUAGAAUGCCUUGCCUGAACCGCCGGCCUCAUCGUUGUGGGCCAUGUUUCGCUCUAAAUAGGAAAAAAGUUUGGUCAAAAAGUUGGUUAUUGUCAAGGAACAAGAUCAUGGUCUCAUCAUUUAGGGUUUGUUGACACUGAUGCAUCCUAAAAGCUAAACUUUUAUCAUUUAGGGUUUGUCGAUGCCGAGGCACCCUAAAAGCCUAAGGUUUCAUCAUUUAGGUUUUUAUCGACACCGAGGCACCCUAAAAGCCAAGGUUUUAUAAUUUAGGGUUUGUCGACACCGGACCAUAGGGACAACAAGACAAGCCUUGUGGACGGACAUGCAAUAGGGUGUAGACAUCAGAAUAUGGAUUGCACAAAUAAAUGGUGCAUGCACUGGAAAAAGGAGCCCAACACAGAAUUGCAAUUACAUCCUCAAGCAAGAUGAUUAUCAGUCACAAUAACACAAGUCCGCCACCACACAUCCAAACAAUAAAUCGCCAACGGCUCGAUUACCAGCCGUUAUGUAUCUCCUGAUUGUGAGUGUGUGUGUGUGUGUGAGAGAGAGAGAGAGAGAGAGAGGUUAUGUAUGUCCUGAUUGUUCUACUUGUUAACAAAAGACUAUGCAAAAGUUAAAGAAAACUUAAAAAAAAAUUAGGCAUAUAAAACAUAGCAGUAUAUGUUCAUGUUCCUGAGCCAAUGAGUAAGCUAGUGUAGAUUAGGAGCCCCCUGGAUUUUUUAUAGUAGAAUAAAACUACAAUUUUUCUUCUCCAAUUUAUGCCUUUUUUCGACUAAUCACCAACCAAUACGGUCAAAUAGAAUGGCGAUGUUCAUAGAAAUUUAUCUAAUCGCGACAACAUAACAAGUAAGCUAUGUACAUGGCACGAAGGGGAAGAGGCAUCCCUGGGCCGUCUAGGAUCUACAGGCCGUCGGGGGCGGGGGGGGACUACCACAGCAGGGAGCUCCCAAUCUUCUGUUCCAGGUGUAGCUUCACUUGUGUGCAAUUACAAACGUAAUUUUCUUCAUGGGUCGCUCGAGUUAAUCAAUCAGCGGGAGGAAGAUUGCAAUUUAAAAGGAUCCUCAGGUCAACCAACAAAAGUUUGCACAGGGAACGAAACAUGCAGCAACAUUAUAGCUACACACAGACUGAUUCAGGAGUAUGGUGCUACAAGAGACACAAUUGCUGAAAAGAAAAGAUCCAGUAUCCGUCGAAAACAUCAGGAUUCAGGAAACGCCCAACCAACGUGGCCUCACAUAUGCAAAACAUAUAUUUCUGUCCAAUUUAAGUAGGGUAGCAGGCGGCCAUCAUGCACGUAUAUGAAGAACAUAAGUACUAAUAUGUAGAGAGUGAGAGAGAGAAGACACUGCAUAUCAAAUAUAUGUUCUUGCUCCUGAGAAAACUAGUAAGCUGGAACAGAUUAAGAGCCUUGUCCACUUUGUUUCCUAUGCGGUCCUGGUUGGUCGAAUACAGGUCAAUUUCCUUGUCCCAUAUGUCAGACAGAUUUGUGAACGUGUCUCGGCGAGUAACAUCAUACACUGGAAAACGGACGAGGCAUUCAUUAAGUGGCAUCUCUCAAAAUUAGAUAGCGCAUUAGAUAUAACCCAACAAGAAACACACAAGUGAAAGAAACAGAAAAAAGGCUUUGGCUCCCUGUGUAGUGAAUGACUCCUAAUAAGUUAACCAAAGCCAGAAAGAGAGUUGUACUUUUCUAUGAUGAAGUAGGGUCAACAGUUGUAAGUUCUAUGAUAAUGAUACAGUAGGCUCGGCAGUUUUUAAAAAAUAAAAAAGCCUGAAAAGGUAACACUAUAGAUGAAGUGAUUUUCUUUCAGGAAAGUCAAGCUGACCUGCUUAAUCAUGUAUGUAUAACUGAAAACACAACCAUCUAAGGCGAUGUGUAGUUCACCAAUGUAAGGAAAUUGAUAGAAUAGUUUAUUAUCAACAAUAGCCUAGUUGAUGUGGCAUCAAGUUCUAGCAAUGUAGGACAAGGAGAAGAAAGGAGUAUGACACGGCCUUCAAUAGUGCAAACAGAAGUGUGAAGAGAAAUAAUUACCCAUGAUGAUCCCUUGUGCCCCUCUGUAGUAAGAGUUGGUCAAGGUCCUAAACCUUUCCUGUGUACGAUGGUUAAGCCAGAGGAAAUUGGAGUUGCCCCUCAAGGUUGUCGGAGUUGCAGCUCUCACUGUCUCGCUGCCAACACUAGGUAAUUAACAACGCCUCCUGCACCAAGCACCAUGCAUGAAGAAUUAGUUGUCCGUCGGUAACUAAGUGAUUCUCCACUGCCUUCUCUUCAUUUUUUCCAUUGUCAACUUGAUCAUGCAGGGUCAGUGAUUUUUCGCAUGGACAACAAGUCCUAGUUAGGGACGAUAUGGAUCAUGGAUGCAAGUUCUGGAACCUUUCAACCUUGGUCUGGCAGGAUAGUGAAGCUGAACAGCAGCAUGUCAUGACUCAUGACUGCAGCUUGCUGCGGGUUUGGGAUAUGGUUUUUAUAGGAUUAAGUAAGCGGUUUUGUACAAGGUGUGUCUGUAUAAAUAUAUUCUAAAUAUGUCCAGUGUGAUCAUCUUUUUCUAUGGGCAACCAUGUCUAUCAGGUAAAGCUUCAAUAAUUGAAAGAACGUCAGAAAAAUCUGGAAGCUAAGCUGAUGACAGUGGCAGCGAUACAUGAAGUAUUCAGACAAUAGACAUUUUGCUUCGGAGAUAUUUGGAUCUCAAAUUGAAUAGUAUAUAUAUAUGUGGUUCAAGACAGAACGUUGUCGACCUACUUGUGGUGAUAAGUGCUCUGAACUAUCACAAUAGACAUUGAAGCCUCUUCUCCGAAAUGAACAAACACUGGAGCCAUUAGGAACAUCACAAUCAUCGCAAUACAGGUAUGUUGCAAAAUAAGUGAAGGAAUCGGAAUUGAGUACAUGGUUGGAUUUCAUAACCCUGGCGGCUACGUACCGAGGAGUUCAAAAUAACUUCGCUUGGCAUAUAACAACAGUAGCAAUACUUGGCCUGGUGGAUUUGGAAGCUGCAGGGAACACAAUCAUCUUUGACUAUGAGCAAUGGAAUAUGUAAUAGAUGCUUCAGAUAUGUUGAAUAUCAAACAUAAUAUGUGGCGGUUCAGGAAAGAUGAAAAAACAUGGCGUUGUCAAUCUAAGACGGUUGAAUCCCAGCCCAGGGCAAGGAGAAAUUAAUAUUAAUAACCAAAUAAAGAAAGAAAGAAAGAAUUGGAGGUUGAAAAAGAGAAAGAGAGGGGAUGCACCAUUGUCCCAGACGGCGAGCUUAAGCUUCUUGCCGGCAAUGUUAACCAUCUUGACCUUGAAGUCGACGCCUACAAGCAGGAAUAGAUGCACUUCCCUUAGGGUUAGGUAGGUAGGUCUGAUUGGAUUUGAAAGAAAGAAAGGAAGAAAGAAACCAUUGCUCAGCAGAGACAGAUUAGAGCACCAUGGGUUGUACUGAAAGAGGAUGUAUGUUUCAUGAUAAAAGAAAUCUACUCACGUGCAUGACCAUCUAGAAGUUUAUUAGCAAUUAAAUCAAUGAUACCGCCCAUAAUGCUGCAUCGGAUAACCAAGAUGGAAUCGUUUAAAUGCUAAUGGACAACACAUGUCUUGCUGGUUGAAAAAAACAAGAUGUACUUCUGUACUGGAAGUCUGUAACCUUGAAAAAUCUAAAAUAGUGGUCGACUUGAGCAGCUCUAAUCCCACAGAGAAUGUUAUAGACUAAAUCCCUUCCACAAAUGGCUUAUCAUCGACAGGAAGUUUUUAACUUAACAUGGCAUUGUAUAAACAAAAAGGCAGCAACAGAUGGUUGCGGGAUAUGUAUAACAUGUCCAGAAUAACCUCCAUAGUCCUUGUGUUCAGGGUCAACAUAGGAAUCAGGGAGCACAAAAAGAACACCAGGAAUACCUGCAGAACAAACCAACAGAUGUAUUUAGACACACACACACCCUACCAGAAGGAGAAACAGGACAGGUUAGCUCAGACGAACCUUCAAGCUUGUUGGAUGUCUCUUCAUCAAUCUCACACCCGAACCCAAAGUAGCGCUCACACGAGACGUUGUAAAUCUUCUUCUUGGCCUCCUCCUCGCUGCCACAGAAUGCAAAGAUGGAACAAUAUCAGCUUAUCAGGCUUACAUAAACAAUACUCGACAGAAACUACCACGAAACUAGUCAUCCAACCCAAACAAGACACAAGUUUGCUGAAACCAUGCACUUGACGGCAGGCAGACAUGUCCACAAGAUACAUGGACCAGGGAUUGCGCCAAAAAUGGACACUGGUAAUAAGCUAACAGAGGCAAGCAGUUUCAGUACAUCUUGUCUAAGACAUUAUAACUACAUCGGAGACUGGCCGAUCGACGCUGUCAUGAAAGCAUCGUUCAUAAUUAGAUGCAGCAGCAGCAGCAGGCAGGUAGCGGUGAGGGGUGCAUGGAGGGUGGGGAGUACCUUCCGAGGACCUUGGCGAGGGUCUGUAUGUAGCAGUCGAUCAUCUGGUGCUUGGAGGUGCCCUCGCCGCCGGGCUUCUCCAUGACGAUGAGCUAGUACUUUCAUGUGGAUGUUGUGGCUGAGACGCCCGUGCCGGGAAGCCAACGCGUCGUGCUGUCCACGCCGUUCAACGUCGCACGUAGCUACCUCGCUUGUCACCCGCGUGCUCGUGCGCUGCCGCCGCCGCCCCGUCACGCGCUCGCACUAAUCAACACUUUGUAUCUGACAGCUACCUAUUUAUCUAAAUAAAAUGUAGCUCUUGACAACAAGUAUUUAUCCAUCUCCAAUUCACGCGUCAGUCACAUUGUGAGCAAAUAAUAAGAACAACAUUGCAAUUAGCAUUGACAGGAAUUUGGUAAUUGAUUUAGAACAGAGCGCAAGGGAGUAACACAUGUCCAGAACUCAAAAUGAAAUCCGGAUGAGCAGAAAAGGAUUAUGAUCGGUACCUCUGUAUAGGUCCACGGCUGUGGCUGCCCAGGAUGAGCAGAUCAACAUUCAACUUGUCUGCAGCUUGACAUAUGGUUUCCUUGGGAUCACCCACCUCGAUGACGAUCUCUGCAUCAACCUACGCACAAAAUACCCGACGAAUUAAUCUCCUGAACCAAGAUCCAGUUCCACCCCCAAAUUAGUAGUAAUUCUCAGAGCCAUCGCCGCGCCCAUUGACCGGAUCGGGGAAGAAAUUAGGCGAGCAAGAGAGCGAAUCACAUACCCCGUGGUGUUCGCAGAUGGCCUUGGCCUUGUCGACAAGCGCCUGGGCGAGCUGCCGUUGGUGCUCGGUCACGGACCUAAUGAGCUCCGGCGACGCCACCGACGGGCCAACUGCUCCUUCAGUAAAAGUCAGCAGUGCGAUUCAGCUAGUCUGUCCUCGAGAAGCAGCGGGAGCGUGACGGGGCGGUGGCGGCAGCGCACGAGCACGCGGGAACGGCGUCGACACGACGUGGAGCUCUGUAGCUAACCCUAGGUCGUCAGCCCCCCUUGGGCCAUGGGGACGAGCGGGAGAGGGAGGGAGGGGGAGGAGAAGGGAAGGAGACUAACCCAGGGGCCGCGCGGGGAGGUACCCGACGCCGUCGAGGAGAGCGUCCGACGAGGCUCGCCGCCGACGAAGCGCCCGCCGCUGGGAGGGAGAGAAGGAGAAGGGGAGGGAUACGGGGGAGAGCCAGCUCGAGUUGGUCGAUACGGGCACAGGGGCCGCACGGGGACUGGCAUGGGGAUUUUAGCGGGGGUGAUAGCAAUGGCGCAUCCUAGGGGGUGCGUCAUCAGUGAUUUNNAAAAAAAAAAAAAAAAAAAUUAUAGUAGUGGCGCACCAUCUAAAAAUUCGCCAUUAGUAACCCUGGUUACUAAUGACGCAUCAGUUGGUGGUGCGCCAUUAGUAGUUUUGUAAAAAAAAAUUAUAGUAGUGGCGCACUAGGUGAGUAGUGCGCCAUUACUAGUUAAACUAGUAAUGGCGCACUCUGCCCCGGUGCGCCAUUAGUACUUUUAAAAAAAAAGUUAUAGUAGUGGCGCACCGAGUGUGUGGUGCGCCAUUAGUGUCCAUCACACUAAUGGCACACCUGCACAUGGUGCGCCACUGCUAUAUAGUAGUGGCGCACUACUUGUCUCGUGCGCUAUUAGUGUCUAUAUCAUCUAUAGCCCUUUUCUUAGUAGUGCUAGUCAAGUUCACCCUACACAUGCAUAUCUAAGAGUGUAAUAGCGAAAAGUAAAGACAUGCAAAUUUAAUGUAGAGGGUAGGGUUGGAAGAUCAAAUGCAAAGGUUGACACAACGAUUUUUAGCGCGGUUCCGAUAGGUGGUGUUAUCGUACAUCCACGUUAGUGGAGACUUCACCCCACGGAGGGUAAAGGUUGCGACAGUCCACGGAGGGCUCCACGCACAAGGGGUCCAAGAAGAAGGGCCCCUAUCUAUUCCACCAUGGCUUACGUCCACACAGGACUAGCCUCACUCACGGUAGAUCUUCAUGAAGUAGGCAAUCUCCUUGCCCUUACAAACUUCUUGGUUAAACUCCACAACACAAAGAGGAGGCUCCCAAGCAACCCCUAACCAAUCGAGGAGGCACCACUCUCCAAAGGUAAUAGAUGCGGUAGAAUGAUGAACUCCUUGUUCUUGUGCUUCAAAAGAUAGUCUUCUCAACACUCAGCCACUCGCUCACAGAUUUGGCAUGGGUAGGAGAGAUUGAUCUUGUGUAAAGAAACUUGGGGACACUAGAGAUCAAGUUUUAAAUGGUUGGAUUGGAAUCUAUUGAUCACAACACAUGGUAGGUGUCUCUCUCAGAAAAAUGGAUUUGGCAAGUGUAAGUGCGUUCUGAGUGCUUCCUCUACAAAUUAGAGGAGGUGGAGGGGGAAUAUAUAGGCAUACCCCCCAAAUCCAACCAUUACAACAUUAUUACCCAACUUGGUGAGACCAAAAAGAAUCUCGGUGGUAUCGAGUUGCACUAAAUGUGGCAACUUCUGAAUUCUUGGUGAGACCGAUAUGUGAAUCUUGGUGGUACCGAUACGAUGACCUACACUAGUUUCCAAAUCUUGGUGAGACCGAUUCCAUUCUUCCGAUUCCUGGAAUUUUCUCAGCAGAAAGUUGGUCACUGAAUCUUGGUGGCACCGAUAUGAAAGUUGGUGGUAUUGAGAGAUUAGGGUUUUCCAAAGGAUCUGUCUCGUGGAAAAUCGGUGGGGCCAAGUGGAAAAAGUUGGUGGCACCGAUUUUUGUAGUUUGGCUUUGGACAAAGAUAUAUUGUGGGAGAAUAGAUGAGUAUUUUUGGUGGAUACCUCUAAGCACUUGAUCAACAAAUUCAUCAUAAUACCUCACCCCAUUUUAAUAGUAUUGGCUUUCCUAUGGAAUCGAAGUGAUUUCUCAUAAAUGUAAAAUGUAGAGUCUUCUUGCUUGAAGCUUGAGCCAAUCCUAUUCCUUCCUUCAUCAAAGGGUUUCUCCUCACAAUCCUCUAGCCAAGGCAUCUUUGAACUUUUCUGAAAUAUACUUGGAUAAGAUCAUUAGUACAAUGAUGCAUAUGUUGUGAUCAAUUAUCAAAAUCUCCAUAGGGAGCAAUUGUACUUUCAUCCAUAAGCAAGUAGACCGAUGCCUGCAUCUACUACUAUUACUCCACCCAUCAACCACUAUCCAACAUGCAUCUAGAGUAUUAAGUAAUAACAAAGUAAUGCUUGAAGGAGGAAGACAUGACGUAGGCAAGGUAAAUCUAAUUAAUAUGAAUGAAUCCCAUCGUUUUACCCUUAAUGGCAGCAAUACAAUAUAUGUCAUGUCCCUUUCUGUCACUCGGAUUGAGCACCGCAAGAUUGAACCCACUACAAUGAACCUCUCCCACUGAAGAUAAAUCAAUCUAGUUGGCCAAACCAAACUGAUAGACCGGAGAUACUUAUGAAGCUAUAAUCAUGCAUAUAUGAAUUCAGAUAAGACUCAAAUAUUUAUUCAGGAAUAAUCUGAACAUAAACUUACAAUUCAUCGGAUCCCAACAAACGCACCACAAAAAGUGAUUACGUAAGAUAAAUCACCAUGGGAAUAGCAAUGAUCUUGGCAAUGAUGAACAUAGAGAGAGAUAACCAUCUAGGUACUAACUACGAACCCGUAGGUUUGUGGUGAAUUACUCACACAUCACCAUGGUAGCAGCAAGGUUAAUGUAGAGGACCUCCAUGAUCGAACCCCUCUGGUAGGGCACUGGAAUAGGGCUCCACAUGGGCACACAUCGGAACGUAGACUUGCAGUAGUGAAAAAAGUAUUUCGGGAGGCUCUCGAGGGUUUUCAGGAUAUAUGAGAAUUUAUAGAGAAGAAAUCAUGACCAGGAGAGCUAGGAGGUGGCCCAAAGCCAUCAGGGCGUGACCACCCCCCUAGGCGCGCCUUGCUGGGUUGGUGGCACCUCGUGUGCCCUCCGGUCUUCCUUCGAAGCUUACAGGUCUUAUUUUUGUCCAAAAAAAUCUUCAAAAGGUUUUUGGCUUUUUAGACUUUGUUUGGUACAGUAUUCCUGAAUGUCCAAAAAAUGCAGAAAAUAACAAGUGACACUUGGCACUGGGUUAAUAGGUUAGUGCUCAAAAAUAAUGUAAAACAAGUAAAUGCUUUAAAGAUAUCCUAGAAUGAUAAUAUAAUAGCAUGGAACAGUAAAAAAUUGUAGAUAGGUUGGAGAUGUAUUAACAUCCCCAAGCUUAAUUCCUGCUCAUCGUCGAGUAGGUAACUGAUAAAAAUAGAAUUUUUGAUGUGACAUGCUACCCAAAAUGUAAUAUUUUUCAGGUAUAAUCAUUGAGAAAUGAUGAAUCAACAAACAUCAACAUAGUAAUAUCCAUAAGCAUAAGUAACACAAUCAUCAACUUUUAAAAUAUACGAUUCUUAAAGAAUGUUCACCCCACAUUCAUUUUAUCAUAUUAGCAUGGCAUGGAUGCGUAUUCACUACAUAAAUAAAAAUGUCAAGAACCACAGAGUUAAGCCAAGCAAUUGGAUGGUUCUUUUAAUGCGCUUAAACAUUUUAUACCUCACUCAAUACAUGAGAGUGAAUCAUGGACAUAGCAUAUAGGUGGAACAGAAUAUGGUGGUAUGUUUCAAAGGGGUAAAAGUGGAAAAGAACCUCUCGCACCAACUAGGCGGAUCAACGUGCUAUGGAGAUGCCCAUCAUUCAUAUCAAUGCAAGGAGUAGGGAUUGCCAUGCAACAGAUGCACUAGAGCUAUAAGUGUAUGAAAGCUCAGUUAAAGCUAAGUGUGUGUGCAUCCAACUUGCUUGCUCAUGAAGACCUCGGGAAUUUGAGAAAGCCCGUCAUCGAAAUAUAAAAGCCAAGUUCUAUAAUGAAAAAUUCCCACUAGCAUAUGAAAAUGAAAAAACAUGAGACUCUCUAUAUAAAAACAUGGUGCUACUUCGAAGCACAAGUGUGGAAAAAGAGGUAGUAGCACCGUUCCUUCUCUAUUUUCUCUCAUUUAUUUUUUCCUUUUUUCUUUCUUUUUUGUUUUUCUUUUUAUUCUUCUUCUUUUUUGUUUUAUUUCCUUCUUUUUUUUGUCCGGAGUCUCAUCCCGACUUGUAGGGGAAUCAUUGUCUCCAUCAUCAUUUCCUUACAGAGACAAUGCUCUAAUAAUGAAAAACAUCACACUUCUAUUUACUUACAACUCGAUAUGAAAAACUACUAAACAAGAUGACUCCAUAUGAAUUACUCUGGCAGUGUACCAGGAUGUGCAAUGAUCCAGCACAACAUGUAAACAAUGAUGAACAGUGGCUUUGCCACAAAUGCUAUGUGAGCUACAUGAUCAUGGAAAGCAAUACGAUUAUGAACACACAAGUCACGAGACAUAUAUAACGGUGGAAGUUGCAUGGUAAUAUAUCUCGGAAUGGCUAUGGAAAUGCCAUGAUAGGUAGGUAUGGUGGCUGUUUUGAGGAAGAUAUAAGGUGGCUUAUGUGCAACAGAGCCUAUCAUGUCAUGGGGUUUGGAUUCACCCACUAGUAGAAAAGAGGGCUUUGGUUCAGGGCCUACAAUCCCAUUAGUCCCUGUUCACCCACGAACCGGGACCUAUGUCACACCCUGUUUUUACUACCACUUUCUCUGUAAUGCAAAAAUAUGAGCUUGUUAAAACUUUUUCAAAACUAAUGAUGUAGUGCCAUGUUUGUCAUUGAAUGACUUGUGUGAUGAUCAUGUGAUGAUAAAACCCCUUCUAUCCAGAUUGGAGUUAGAGCAACUCUACAUAGCAAAGUUUGUCCUAUGAUGCUAAAACUUUGCAGGAGUGCCUAAUACCUCAAAUGAGGGUUCCACACCAAAAUUGGGAUUUGUGGGACUUAGUUUGCCCACACUCUAUUUGGAAGGGACAAAUCUGGUCAAAUAGUGGUGUUUUCAAGUUUACAAAAGCUAAACUUGCCCAGUGGAGCUCAAACCUGGUGAAACCCCAUGUUUUAGCACCAAACCCAAACCUGUUAAGUUGCAACACGAGUGGUGGGGUGAAGCCCCCUCAAACCACUAUCGACCACCUUCUGACAGAUGGGUAAAAGCCCUCUUAGCCACAGCUAAACCCAACCCCUUUGCUCCAAACUCAUAGAUUAGGUGGCCAGUAUCAAUUCCCAACCCCAGUCAACUGCCCGCUCACUGGUUCAAAGUAGAAAUGCCAAAAACCCCAAUCUAAGAUUUAGUUCAAGGCUGACAGCACCAAUUUUCCUUGUCUCCCUUGACCAGCCGAAGCUCCCACGAGACCCAAAUGGCUAGCCUCACUCCCAGCCAGUGCCAGGACAUGCUAGACACGUCCAAAGUACCUCAGAGCGCACCAGCAUGCUGUGGCAUGCCAAAACUAUGCUCUAGGCGCGCUACAGGAAGCCACCAAGGUGGGGGCGACACUCUCGGCCAGUUCCAGCCUCCCCCGAGGUGUCCAACCUCUUCCCCGACAACCCCUCUGCGUCGAGCAACCCUCAGGGACACUCCUCUCCCGUGCUAGAGCUCGUGCGAUACAUGCCCCCGCGCACCAGAACCGACCAAGGUUGCGCGAAAACGGAUGCUCGACUCCUCUCUCUCCCCCUCUGUUGCAGAUGGUUCUGGCAGUCCAAAACCACGUCCUGAGACCGUGGUUUCGACCCCAGGUCCUCCCUGCACCCCCAUGCGUGACACGGUGAGUCACCGGCGCUCCCGAAUUGGCUCACCGGAGGGAAGCUCAAGCUGGAGAUCACCACGACCAGCAAGACGAUGUUCCACCGCCACCGCCUACUCCCGAAAGCUUGACUAUGGCUCAGUUCCUUCAAGCUCUUCGAGAGGAACGUGAAGCCAACAAUGCCGCUAUUCGGCAGAGUGGGAAUGGCAAUGGUCGCUCUACUCUCUCUGAGUUCAUGCGAACUACGCCACCCAUAUUCACGGAGAUGACUAAACAAUUGGAUGCCGAUGACUGGAUCCAUACUAUCGAAGACCUCCUCGCGCUGGUCAAACACACUGAUGAUCAUGAGAAGGUCAUCUAUGCUUCUCACUGUCUCGGUGGGACAUCCAGAGCUUGCUGGGAUGGAUUUUAGAUCAUGCGAGCAGGGCAAGUCAUCACUUGGGCUGUGUUCAAAGAUGGAUUCCGCGCUGCUCACAUUCCUCGUGGAAUGAUGACCAUUAAGAAGUGAGAAUUUUGAGCCUUAAGGCAAGGUAGUGGAUCCGUCAAGGAAUAUUUGCAGAAGUUCAACCUCCUGUCAAGAUACGCACCUGAAGACGUCAACACUGAGGCCGCCAAAGUGGAACGCUUUAUGGAAGGACUGCAGCAGUCACUUCAGUAUCAGCUGGUUGUUUGUGAAUGCCGGAUCUUCAGCGAUCUGGUUAACAAGGCCCUUAUGUUGGAAGACAAGCGUCGUGCUAUGGACGACACCUGUAAGCGCAAGCUAAUGGGUAGUGGAGGACCGAGUAACCCGAAGCCACACCCAUGGCAGUCAGCUUCAGCAAGACCCAAUUAUCAGUAGCAGCAAUACAAGUAUCCAACAUUUCACCAGAACUACCAGCCUCAGCAACAAGUCAACACCAAGCCAGCAAUCAAUCCACCGAACAACAGUGGAGUCAAGACCAAUCUUCCAGCACAAGCUACCUGUUUUGGAUGUGGGCAAACAGGGCACUAUUCCAGGCAGUGUCCCAAUAAGAACCCAGACGCACCGCGCCCCAAUGCGCCAUAUCAAGGCCAAGGAGCACCAGGCGGGAACCAGGCUCCCCGCAAUCUGCACUAUCACAACAAGAGGCGGAUUAAUCAUAUCUCCGCAGAAGAGGCACAGGAAGACCCGAACUGCAUUCUAGGUACGUUCCUUGUCAACUCCACCCCAGCAACAGUAUUGUUUGAUUGUGGUGCUUCGCAUUCUUUCGUUACACAAAGAUUUGCGGAAAAAUGUGGUUUAAAACCUACCCUGCUCCGCGGGAAAAUGGCAAUUCAAACCCCGGGAGCAGUAUUGAGGACCAUCCUAGGAUGUAGGAAGGUCGGGGUAGUUAUCAAUGGGACGAGCUUCUCAGCGGAUCUCAUUGUGUUGAAGUCACAAGGCCUAGAAGUAAUUAUCUGCAUGGAUUGGUUGGCCAAGUAUGAAAGCAUCUUGGACUGUGCCAACAGGGCCAUUACCAUGAAAAGCGACCAAGGGGUCAAAGUCAAGUAUGUCUCUGAGCCAGUACCCGCUCGAGUACCACGGGUUAACAACCCGUCAGAGGUAGAACUCGAUCGAGUGCCAAUAGUCUGUGAGUACCCGGACGUCUUUCCUGAUGAGCUACCGGGAAUGCCUCCUGACCGAGACAUCGAGUUCAUCAUUGAGCUCAUUCCCGGAUCAAGGCCUAUCUAUAAGAAGCCUUACAUGAUGGGAUCCGAAGAGCUAGCAGAGUUGAAGAAGCAGCUGGAUGAGCAACUCAGGAAAGGGUUUAUUCGUCCGAGUGCGUCACCUUGGGGAUCACCGGUUCUCUUCGUGUCCAAGAAGGAUGGGACUAUCAGACUAUGCGUCGAUUACCGUUCUCUCAAUGAGGUCACAAUCAAGAACAAGUAUCCACUCCCCAAGAUUGAAGAUUUGUUUGAUCAGCUAAAUGGAGCUAAGAUAUUUUCCAAGUUCGACCUCCGAUGUGGAUAUUACCAAUUGAAGAUCCGCCCCGAAGACAUGCCGAAGACUGUGUUCUUGACCCGGUACGGUCUAUACGAAUGCACUGUCAUGUCUUUUGGAUUAAGUAAUGCCCCAGCUUACUUCAUGUACCUCAUGAACAAGGUCUUCAUGGAAUACCUGGACAAGUUUGUCGUCGUAUUCAUUGAUGACAUAUUAAUCUUUUCCAAGUCCGAAGAAGAGCAUGAACAACACUUGAGGUUAGUGUUGGAAAAGCUUCGAGAGCACCAACUUUAUGCCAAGUUCAGCAAGUGUCAAUUCUGGCAGAACGAAGUUGGAUUCUUGGGUCAUACCAUGACAGCAAGUGGAUUGGCAGUUGAUCCCUCCAAGAUUACUACGGUAACCAACUAGGAAUCGCCAAUUGAUGUGAAGGAAGUCAUGAGUUUUCUCGGACUCGCGGGAUAUUACCGCAAGUUUGUAGAAGGAUUCUCCCGCAUUGCUCGACCUAUGACUCAGCUUUUAAGAAGGGCAAGAAGUUCGAAUGGAUGCCGGAGUGUGAAGCAAGCUUCCAAUAAUUGAAGAAGAGAUUAACUACCGCCCCGGUAUAGGCCACUCCAGAUAUCACCAAGGAGUUCGUGAUAUAUUGUGAUGCCUCCAGGACCGGGCUCGGUGGGGUUGUAAUGCAGGAUGGCAGAGUUGUGGCAUAUCUGUCACGACAACUGCGCCCACAUGAGGAUAACUAUGCCACCCGUGAUCUCGAGUUGGCAGCAGUAGUGCAUGCCCUAAAGACAUGGCGACAUUACCUUUUGGGGAAACGACGUGAAAUAUACACUGACCACAAAACUUUGACGUAUAUCUUCACCCAAAGGGAAUUUAAUAUGAGGCAACGAAGAUGGUUGGAGUUAAUCAAAGACUACAACCUCAGCAUUCAAUACCACCCUGGUAAGGCCAAUGUAGUGGCUGCUGCCUUAAGCCGGAAGACCAGCACCUUGAACGUCAUGCUCAAGGGAAGACAACCUGCCUUGUAUGAGGAAUUGGAGAACUUUGGAUUGGAGCUAGUAGAAUCAGGAUUCCUAGCUAACCUCGAAGCCAAACCAACGCUGGAGGAUGAUAUCAAGGAAGACCAGAAGGGUCAUAAGAGCAUUGUAGGCAUCACGAAGAAGAUUCAAGAAGGCAAGGCCCCAGGAUUCUCGGUGGAUGAACAAGGAGUAGUGUGGUUUGGGAAACGUUUAUGCAUACCCAACAAGGCUGAACUCAAGGACCUGAUCCUAUAGGAAGCACAUGAUACACCCUACUCUAUUCACCACGGUGGUACCAAGAUGUAACAAGAUCUCCGAGAAAGAUUCUGGUGGCAUGGCAUGAAGAGGGAAAUAGCAUCUUAUGUUGCCAAGUGCGACGUAUGCCAGCGAGUCAAGGCUGAGCAUCAGCAACCUGCUGGACUGCUACAACCACUUCAAGUGCCGGAAUGGGAGUGGGAUAAAGUCGACAUGGGUUUCAUCACUGGAUUGCCCAGGUCUAGCAAAGGGCACAACUCCAUAUGGGUCAUCGUCGACCACCUGACCAAGGUGGCCCAUUUCAUUCCAAUGAACAGUAAGUACGAUAGAAACCAAUUGGCCAGUCUGUCUAUCCAUCGUGUCGUGAGCCUUCACGGAGUUCCCAAGGAGAUUGUAUUUGACCGAGGAACGCAGUUCACCUCAAGAUUUUGGAAGAAGUUCCAAGAAGCCCUCGGAACCAAGCUCUCUUUUAGCACCGCUUUCCACCCACAAACGGGCGGACAAACGGAAAGAGUGAAUCAGAUACUCGAAGAUAUGCUCCGCGCUUGCGUCUUGGCACAUGGUGCGAAAUGGGAAGACUGUCUGCCGUUUGCUGAGUUUUCAUACAACAAUAGCUACAGGUCCAGUCUCCAAACGGCCCCAUUUGUAGUGUUGCAUGGACGAAAGUGACGCACCCCGCUCAACUGGUUCGAAACCGGUGAAGGGCUGAUUUUCGAGCCGGAAGUUUUGCACAAGGCAGCAGAGAAGGUGCAACUUGUCCGAGAAAAUCUAAAGGCAGCCAAGUCGCGACAAAAGAGCUAUGCGGAUUCUUGCUGCAGGGACGUGGAGUUCAUUCCCGGAGACCAGGUGUACCUCCGUGUCACACCCCUCAAAGGAACCAAGCGUUUCCAUGUGAAAGGGAAACUCGCUCCAAGGUUCAUUAGACCUUUUAUGAUCACGGCAAGGCAUGGCAAAGUUGCUUAUCAGUUGGAACUACCUCCGAAACUUUCGGGUGUGCACAACGUCUUCCACGUGUCACAACUUUGAAAGUGUCUUUGUUAGAGCAUAUAUCUCCAUAUGUGGUUUUGGUAAUUGAUGACAAUUCCUAUGGAAUAAUGGUUGCCUUAAGUUACAUUUAGAGGAUUUGUCCAUAGGCACUUCUUGAAGUCCAUCUGUUGGGUUCAAGGAGUUUAUAUGAUGACCAAGAUGGUAUUCAAGGUAUUAUCCAAAGAAUGGUCAUAGAGACACAUGGUUGAUCAAGAUCUCAGACAAAGAGUAAAUCAAGAUGAUCAACACACAAAGCGUACAAGAUGUACCGAGAGGGAUCAAGUGAUCCCAUGGUACGGUAAGCAUUAUCCAUUACGUGUUUGUGUACUAACCCAUGGUCUUCGUGAGAGUUCUAUAUGGUGGUUAGGUGUGUUUCCAUGGGCUUGCGUCAAAGGGAAGAUCUCAUACAACCCAUGGAAUAUGACGUCAAGUUGUGAUCGUCAUCAAGAUUGCGAUGUGCAACUUCAAGUGGAUCAGCACGAAGAUAUCAUGCUUGAAGCUUGCCGUCCAUUGUGGUGGCAAUGGACUUGUGAAGAUAUGCUGAAGAGUGGCUCACCCAUAGUGAAUAUGCGGGAGCAAUCAACUAGUCUUCAUCAAGCCAACGCAAUCAAGAAAGGUGGUCCGUCUUGAGGAAGCCAAGAUCAUCAUCAUCUAGCUCAAGAGGACGAGGUGCAAGGUAUAGGUUUGCCCUUGAUAGGUUUUCUGGUUAGGAUAGAUUGCUGUACUAUCAAGGGGGGCUCUCAAGUGAGUAGCUUGAUCGUAUCGUUCGUUGAGAGCUCAAACCAUUUGAAUCCUUGCAUCAUACUUCUUGGUUCUUGUUUGGUGUUUCUCUUUGUGAGUUUUAGAGCUUAUGGUCAUCUUCGUGACAAGCUCGAGUUCAUCGAAAACGGAGUCCAUAUGCAUCUACUAUGAUGUUUUCGAUGUUGGAGUUUUUGCCGGUUCUUCAUUCAUAUAGGACUCACAUCUCUAUAUCAUUGGCAUUUUCAUAUCUGCAUGAUUUGGAUAGCUCUUGUCGUCCUGAAUCCAACAAGCUUGGGUUUGCUCGAUUCGGAGCUCGUAUGCGAAAGUUAUGGCUGUUUCAGUGGCGAGCGGUAGUACCGCUGGACCUAGCGGUAGUACCGCUAGAGUUGGCGGUAGCACCGCUAUCCCAGCGGUAGUACUGCCCCUGGCCAGCGGUAGUACCGCUCCAAGUUUUUAGUACCGUCAUCUUUGCGGUUGUACUACGUCGGACAUUUUUGCGAAGACUUUCUUGGCGGUGGUUGGCCCGGUAGUAUCUUUGCGCUACCAUGGGCUCAGUGGUAGUACCGCUGCAGCCAGCGGUAGUACCGCUGGAAGGUCAGCGGUAGUACCGCUGCAGCCAGCGGUAGUACCGCUNNNNNNNNNNNNNNNNNNNNNNNNNNNNNNNNNNNNNNNNNNNNNNNNNNNNNNNNNNNNNNNNNNNNNNNNNNNNNNNNNNNNNNNNNNNNNNNNNNNNNNNNNNNNNNNNNNNNNNNNNNNNNNNNNNNNNNNNNNNNNNNNNNNNNNNNNNNNNNNNNNNNNNNNNNNNNNNNNNNNNNNNNNNNNNNNNNNNNNNNNNNNNNNNNNNNNNNNNNNNNNNNNNNNNNNNNNNNNNNNNNNNNNNNNNNNNNNNNNNNNNNNNNNNNNNNNNNNNNNNNNNNNNNNNUGCAGCCAGCGGUAGUACCGCUCGGCUCGGGCUGUAAGUGGGGGUAACGGUCUGAUUCCUUCCCCCACUAUAUAAAGGGGGUCUUCUUCCCCCUUGGCCUUAUCUAUCCGUUGAGCUCUUGUUCUACCUCCAUUGUUGACAUUCUUAGAUCUUGCUAACUCUCAAUCCCUCCAAUGAUUCUUGCUUGUUCUUGAGGGAAAAGAGAGAGGAGAUCUAGAUCCACAUCUCCACCAAUCACUUUCUCCUCUAUGUGAGGGGAACCCCUUGGAUCUAGAUCUUGGAGUUCUUUGUGAGCUCCUUGUUCUUCCUCUCAUAUUUCUCCAUAGCUUUUGUUUUUGUGGAGGGAUUUGAGUGUGAGGGACUUGACCACUUCGUGUGUUCUUGCCAUUGCAUUAGUUGCAUCGGUUUGAGUUCUCCACGGUGAUACGUGGAAGUGAGAAGUUGAGAAGCUUACUACCUUUGGUACUUAGUACCCUAGAUAUUGUUCUUCGUGGAUGCUUUGGCAUCCUAGAAACUUGGUGGUGUGGCUUUGGCAUCCUAGAAACUUGGUGGUGUCUCGGAGCUCAACCAUUGUGGUGUGAAGCUCCGGGCAAGCGUCAGGGUCUCCAAUUAGGUUGUGGAGAUAGCCCCGAGCUAUUUGUACGGGUACCGGUAACCGCCCCCAAGAGUUGCCACGUGUACGGGUUCGGUGACCGCCCCCAAGGUUUGCCAUUUGUACGGGUUCGGUGACCGCCCUCAAGGGUCCCUUAGUGGAAUCACGACAUCUUGCAUUGUGCGAGGGCAUGAGGAGAUUACGGUGGCCUUAGUGGCAUCUUGGGGAGUAUUGUGCCUCCACACCGCUCCAACGGAGAUUAGCAUCCGCAAGGGUGUGAACUUCGGGAUACAUCAUCGUCUCCGCGUACCUCGGUUAUCUCUUACCCGAACCCUUUACUUAUGCACUUUACUUUGUGAUAGCCAUAUUGUCUCUUGUCAUAUAUCUUGCUAUCACUUAGUUGUUUAUCUUGCUUAGCAUAAGUUGUUGGUGCACAUAGGUGAGCCUAGUUGUUUGAGGUUUUGUGCUUGACAUAUUAAACGUUAGUUUUAUUCCGCAUUUGUUCAAGCCUAAACCUAAAUUAUUUUAAAGCGCCUAUUCACCCCCCUCUAGGCGACAUCCACGUCCUUUCAGUCUUCAAACGCCAAACUGUUCCGAUCCCUACAAGGGCAUUGACCACCAGGCCAUUGACCUUCAGCCGGAUCUCACCUACCGUCAGAAGCCGAUCCGCAUUCUGGGUGAAGCAGAGUGUUGCACCAGAAGGCGCACCAUCAAGUAUUUCAAGGUUCAGUGGAACAACCACACCCAUGCCGAAGCAACAUGGGAGCGUGAAGACUAUCUCUGAUCUGAGUUUCCGGACCUUUUUAGCACCUAGCUUAGGAAUCUCGGGGACGAGAUUCCUGUAAGGGGGAUAGGUCUGUCACACCCUGUUUUUACUACCACUUUCUCUGUAAUGCAAAAAUCUGAGCUUGUUAAAACUUUUUCAAAACUAAUGAUGUACUGUCAUGUUUGUCAUUGAUUGACUUGUGUGAAGAUCAUGUGAUGAUAAAACCCCUUUCACCCAGAUUGAAGUUAGAGCAACUCUACAUAGCAAAGUUUGUCCUAUGAUGCUGAAACUUUGCAGGAGUGCCUAAUACCUCAAAUGAGGGUUCCACACCAAAAAUGGGAUUUGGGGGACUUAGUUUGCCCACACUCUCUUUGGAAGGGACAAAUCCGGUCAAAUAGUGGUGUUUUCAAGUUUACAAAGCUAAACUUGCCCAAUGGAGCUCAAAAUUGGUGAAACCCCAUGUUUUAACACCAAACCCAAACCUGUUAAGUUGCAACAUCAGUGGUGGGGUGCAACCCCCUCAAACCACUGUCGAGCACCUUCUGACAGAUGGGUAAAAGCCCUCUUAGCCACAACUAAACCCAACCCCUUUGCUCCAAACUCAUAGAUUAUGUGGCCAGUAUCAAUGCCCAACCCGAGUCAACUGGCCCCUCACUGAUUCAAAGUAGAAAUGCCAAAAACCCCAAUCUAAGCUUCAGUUCAAGGAUGACAACACAAGUUUUCCUUGUCUCCCUUGACCAGCUAAAGCUCCCACGAGAACCAAACGGCUAGCCUCACUCCCAGCCAGUGUUAGGACAUUCUAGACACGUCCAAAGUACCUCAGAGCGCACGAGCAUGCCAUGGCCUGCCAAAAGUGCGCUCUGGGCACGCUACAGGAAGCUACCGAGGUGGGGGCGACACUCUCGGCCAGUUCCAGCCUCCCCCGAGGUGUCCAACCUAUUCCCCGACAACACCUCUGCAUCGAGCAACCCUGAGGGCCCCUCCUCUCCCGCGCUAGAGCUCGUGCGACGCGUGCCUGCGUGCACCAGAACCGGCCAAGGUUGCGCGGCCACGGAUGCUCGACUCCUCUCUCUUCCCCUUUGUUGCAGAUGGUUCUGGUAGUCCAACACCACGUCCCAAGACCGUGGUUUCGACCCCAGCUGCUCCCUGCACCCCCAUGCGUGCCACGGUGAGUCACCAGCACUCCCGAAUCGGCUUGACGUCGUGGGCCUAUUUAUAACCCUCCCCCUCGCUCCAGCACCCCUCAGACAGCUUCACCACGACCACUAGCACCUCCCAAGCCACCCCAUCAAACCAGCAGAGCCCUAGUGCUCGAGAUCGAUCGAGGCCCCUCCGCCUCGGAGCUUCGGUCGAUCUCCAACUACACAACGACUCCUGGGUCCCUCGACCCACCAAACUGAUCCCCUCGACCCCAGGAAGCUUUCCCCCAACUUCCCCGAGCAUUUCCGUGCCCCUAGAUACCUCCUCGACCACCUCCCGAAACUCCUCUGCCACGGCCUCCUCGUCGCCGGCGAAUGCUUGCCUCUUCGUCACUGUUCCGACCAUCACCAGGUAGGCGGAGUCAUGCCAAGCCCAUUUCUGUCCUCGUUGGGGCUUGAGAACAUCGGCAGCCUCACCCGCGUGCUCCUCCUCCUCUCUGGCUAGAGGUAGGAGGCGACCCGACAGGUGUGCCCCACCUAUCGGUGGCCCAGCUCCCUCCCCCGCGCUGCCCACAGCCACUGACCGCAGGGCCCCGCACGUCAGGUACAAACCUGACAGCGCGCGCGCCUGGGCAGGCUGUCGGCUGGCCUUGGGCCGACCCAGUUCCACGCCGAGCGAGUCCAGGGGCUUAGCCAUUUUUCUUUUGCUUUUAAAAUCUGGUUUCAAAGAUUAUUAUAAAAAUAUUUCAUUAGUGUAAAAUUAUAAUUUUUCCAGUGAUAUUCUUCUACAAAUAUGUAGUAUUUCAUAAGACCUUGCGAUGAAUUUUUCUACUACUAUUCUGUUUUACAAUAAUAAAAAGGACUAAAUUGAAUAGUUUUGCUUUGUUUGGUUGAUUUUAAAAAUCUUCCUUCAUUGGAAACAGAGGCAAAUAUUUUUCCAAAUAACAACUUAGACUUAUCAGUAAUAAAGAACAUUUUUAAAAUGAUUUUGUGAUCUAUUUUUGAGUGAGCUAUUUCUUAUUUAUUCUUUUGACGACGAUAGAAAAUCCGUGUGACGAGGGAAUCGGAGCGGACGACCUCGAAGACCCUAGAUAUCUAGCUGACCAAGGCAAGCAACCCUUUGACCAUGACUGAGCAUAUGGUAUAAUUGCAUGUUAAGAUAGCAAGUAUUUCCAUUACAUAGGAUCACAAUUGUCGGUAAAUCACUAAGGUGAUGUUACCAAUGGCUCCUUCACAGCACAUGUAUUGAGCUUGAUCCUACCCCUUCGAGGAUCACGCUAUUAUCAUGUUGACAAGUAAUGCUAGAAUAAAUAGCAUGAGCAUGUUGUUGGUAUAAAUCAAAUAUUUAUGAAAACCCGUCAGGUGCCACUAAUGCCCGAGGGUGAUGAUGAGUUAGGUGGCCACUUUUAGUGAAGUGGUGCACCGGGUAUUUUGAGUGAGUAUGGUUUCGGAAAUGGGAUUAGAUUUAUGAUGUGUCGACUGUCCCAACCUUACCAGUACGACCAAGUUACCUCUUAUGGGAUGGGGCUAUGUUGAAUACUCUGGUCAGUGCUAGCAAAGAGCCACAUUACUAGUGGCGGGAGUGAUGUGUGGUCACUCUCGUGAUGGGGUCGUGCCAGGUAGAACGACUGUGCCAUUUUUAUGAGUUCCAGGCACACCGUUGAUCCCCGCAUGGUUGAUCCUGUCCAAAGUCGAUGCUCGUAAGACGUACAACAUGUGGGCUGGGCACCAAUCGAGUGGACCUCUUUGUCUAGUAUCAUCAGGGGAAAGGCAUUGAUCGGGUACUUACCUCGGGUAUGUUAUAUACCGCGAGUCGUGGAUGACACGAAAGUUUCGCGGAUCUCGUGGGUCCAGCGUACUACCUCUGCAGAGUGUAAAACUAUUCGAAUACCCGUGUCCACGGCCAAGGACAGUUGGGUGGUGAUGCUUAAACUACAUCCAGUUAUUUCCGCAUAAACCAAGUGUGUGUGUGAGUUGUGCUAAAAAGGAAUUAUUAUGAAAGUAGCGAUAUGUCCAAGUUUGGUGACUUGGCAUAUAGGGUGAAACCGGAUGGUUCAGCCCUCGACAGAUAUAUUGAUAUCUGUAACCUGUUCUUCAAAAGUAAUUCUUUAACUUGAUGCAUAUUCAUGAUCAUUCCACCAAGAUGAAUUACACCAGAGGUGCAUGUUAUUGUUAUCCUUCACUUUCAAUGUUCAUAUCAUGGGCUGUUUGCGAGUACAUUCAAAGUACUCAUUGGCUUGCCACUGGUUAUAUUAUUGACCAGACAUGGAAGGACCGGAGUUUGGAGAUGAAUAUGUCUUCGGAGACGCCCCUGCGAACUAGGACACUUCCGAGUCAGAAUGCAUGUCGGUGUAGGCUUGAUGGCAUGGGCACCCGCUUAGCCCCUAUGAUUUCCGCUAUUAGUUGUAUCAGUAUGAUUUGGCCUUAGGCCCAACCUUGUGAACUUGACCAUUUGGUCAUAUGAUGUAAUAAUUCGAUACUCGGAUGUAAGACUCUUAUUAUUCAGUAUCUGUGUGUUCGGUGAGCAUUGAUCUCUGGGAUCACUGAGCAUGAUCAUUCGAUGAUCUCGACUUGUAAGUCGGGGUCCCCACAACCUAUGGUGUCAUUCGUCCCGGUUCGUGAGGCCAGGGCGCCGGCCGGGCAUCGUGGGCCAUUGGUCCCGGUUCGUGUCAACCCAUUGGUCCCGAUUCCAGACACGAACCGGGACCAAUAGGCCGGAACCGUUCGUAUCCCCCUUCAGUCCCGGUUGGUGGAUCAAACUGGGACCAUGUGGACCGUUCGUAUCCCCCUUUAGUCCCGGUUAGUCGUUCAAACCGGGACUAAGUGGUGGUGGCAACCAUUCGUAUCACCCUUUAGUCCCGGUUGGUGGCUCAACCCAGGACUAAAGGCCCAAACGGUUUGCCUCCCGCCUCGUUUCCAGCAAUGAAAAGCACAACUGAAGCAGAGUCUCUCGCCAUUCUGUGUUCUUCUCCUCUCUUGCUCUCCUCUCUUCUUCCUCUCUCCUUCCUCUCUUCUUCCCCUCUAUUAUUCCCUUCUCUUCUUCCACCAUGCCAACUCGCUUCGGAGAGGUGCUCGCACAUGGCAAGACCAAACUCGAUGUCGUGUCCACGAACGAUAGCAGGGAGGUGCCGCAUUUUCUUAGACAGUUGAAGGGAUGGCUUGACGCUGCGGUGGAGCAUGAUAAAUUCUUGGGGCUUGAUCUGGAGUACACAGCCGAUCAACAAGGUGUUGCCGUCAUCCAACUAUGUUUCAAACUCCACGUCUUGAUCUUCCAAUGGGCGAGGUAUGUUUUGAGGCUUUCUAUGAUCCAAGGUUAUGAAAAUUGCAUAUAUAUAGUGAUCUCUCUAGGUUCCAUUGGAUUGCAAUAUACAGUUUCUAUAUAUGUUCCAUUGGAUAGUUAAUUGAGGGUUUCUUUAUCAAUUCAUAGGAUAUGAAAAUUGCAUAGGAUAGGAAUAUAUGUUCCAUUCGAAUCCUAUAAAGAUCAAUUUCUCUUUAGUUGUAGUGAAACAAUUUUCUGCAGCGUUCUUUGAUCCAAGGUUAUGAAAAUUGCAUAUAGUGAUCUCUCUAGGUUCCAUUGGAUAGCAAUCUGCAGUUUCUAUAUAUGUUCCAUUGGAUAGUUAAUUGAGGGUUUCUUGAUCAAUGCAUAGGAUAUGAAAAUUGCAUAAGAUAGCAAUAUGUUCCAUUGGAAUCCUAUAAAGAUCAAUUUCUCUUUAGUUGUAAUGAAACAAUUUUCCUUGGCGUUCUUCGAUCCAAGGUUAUGAAAAUUGCAUAUAGUGAUCUCUCCAGGUUCCAUUGGAUAGUAAUAUGUAGUUUCUAUAUAUGUUCCAUUGGAUAGUUAAUUGAGGGUUUCUUGCAUAGGAUAGCAAUAUCUUCCAUUGGAAUCCUAUAAAGAUCAAUUUCUCUUUAGUUGUAGUGAAACAAUUUUCAUUGUUGCAUAAUUGCAAAACCGUGGGAGAAUAUUUAUGUUUGUCAUAGUUAAUUUACGGUUUCUUGAAAAUUCAUAAGAUAUGAAAAUUGCAUAGGAUAGAAAUAUGUUCCAUUUGAAUCCUAAAGAUAAUUUUCUCUUUAGUUGUAGUGAAACAUGUUUCCUUGUUGCAGCAGUAUGUAACCUUUGUUCCAUUUUAAUUUGUUGUUGUUGCAGUAGUGACAAGCAUUGUCUAGAACUCAUGGACUUCCUUCACAGCGGCAUAAGUUUUGCUAGCGUUGACAUAAGGAACGACAAGCUGAAGAUGAGGCACAACUUCAUUAUUGAGGUACUUGCUGAUUGCCACAUUGAUCUCCAACAGAAAUUCAGGCUUCAACAUCAUAGGACUUCGAUGGCUCAUAUGGCAGUCGCCUUGAUCGACGAGGAGUAUGCUGAUAUGAAGACCAAAUUCCCAAGGUCUCAGCACAGACAUUGGGAGAUGACCCCACUUGACCCUAUCAACUUUGAUUAUGCAGCAAAAGAUGCAUACGUUUCAUACGAGUUGUACCACAAGAUUCGAGUCAUCAACUAUGGCCAGCGUCACCUCACACGAGCUUGUUGACAUUCUGAUUCACACGAUUCAGAAGAGUAGUGUUCACAACAACGAACACUUGCAUAUAUAUCUGUGCUAGCUAUUAUUAUGUACUUUUUGGACGAGUAUUAUUAUGUACUGCUUGGACCAAUAUAUAUAUAUAUAUGUCUAGUUUCUAUUUGUGCCAUUAUAGUUUAGCCCUUUCUAACUUCAUUUUGCUACUUUUCAAGGUAUCAUGCAUUUUGACCACAUAUAUAUACACGAAGUGCAUCCAGUUUUUGUCUCAACCCUCUCAAUUUUUUUGCACAUGCUAUGUGCGUGAAAUGAUGAUACCAUGCCAACUUUCAACCUAUUCCGAGUUCAUUUGUAGUGAUUUUCAUUUUCGGGGUCAUUUAGCUCAAAAAUUUUAGUAAAUGCAUGAAAAAUACCAAAUGAACUUAAAAAGAGUUGAAAAUUGAUGAUGUGGCCUUGAAUGGUGCAUUUUGAACACACAAAAAGUCUUGAGUUCAAAUAAGUUCAAAAAAUGAAAUCCCUUUUGUAAGAGAUGAGUUUUCGCAAGAAACUCUGAUACUUCGAAAGAGAUUGUCCGAUUUGUAAAAGAAGUGAAUCCACUUUUUGCCGCAACCCUCUCAACUUUUUAGCACAUGCUAUGUGGGUGAAAUGAUGAUACCAUGGCAAUUUUCAACCUAUUCAGAGUUCAUUUGUAGUGCUUUUCAAUUUCUGGGUCAUUUAGCUCAGAAAAACCAGCAAAUGCAUGAAAAAUACCAAAUGAAAUCAGAAAGUGUUGAAAAUUGGUGAUGUGGCCUUGAAUGGUGCAUUUUGAACACACAAAAAGUCUUGAGUUGUCCCUUUUGUAAUUGAUGAGUUUUCGUAAGAAACCCUCAUAGUUUGAAAGAGAUUGUCCGAUUUAUACACGAAGUGUAUCCAAUUUUUGCCGCAACCCUCUCAAAUUUUUAGCACAUGCUAUGUGGGUGAAAUGAUGAUACCAUGCCAACUUUCAACCUAGUCAGAGUUCAUUUGUAGUGCUUUUCAAUUUUUGGGUCAUUUAGCUAUAAAAAAUC
rnacentral:lncRNA from 1 species